rnacentral:lncRNA from 1 species
CUCAUGCUGUAGACAGUAGGGGAGUUGCAGAAUAUCUUCGAGCACUAGUGGCCACGAAUGCCAUUGCUGAAUAUUUGCCCGAUGAACAGUCGGGAAAACCUUCCAGUCUUCCUUCUCUGGUACUAGGCUGGGCAUUUUUCUUUUCUCAGCUGUCUAAUUUUGCAAUGGAUAUUUAGCUGGAGAUAUGUUCUGAUGGUUUUCUUUUUUGCUUUGUCCAGUCCUGAGUCUGUUAUACAGCGGUUUGAACAAAGAGCUCAUGCUGUAGACAGUAGGGGAGUUGCAGAAUAUCUUCGAGCACUAGUGGCCACGAAUGCCAUUGCUGAAUAUUUGCCCGAUGAACAGUCGGGAAAACCUUCCAGUCUUCCUUCUCUGGUACUAGGCUGGACAUUUUUCUUUUCUCAGCUGUCUAAUUUUGCAAUGGACAUGAAUGGUAUAUCUAUUAAUUAUAUAGCGUUGUUACUGUAUACACGAUACUUUCACAACCUGUCAAUAUGUUUUUCUGAAAGGACAAUUUUAUUGAAGUUCAGUGAGUUAGAAAACCAAGGUUUUUGCACUUUUUUUUUCCUUGUCAAUUUUCACGCCAUACCUGUCAGCUGUUCUUCUUGUCAUCCUGGUUAAUAUCAUCAGACACUUCAUGCAGCCUGCUUCCUUUAUCAUUUGAUGCAUAUACAGUUUUUAACUUCUCGAAUUAUCUGAACCAAAUACAUGAUGCGAGUGAAACUGGUUUCAUUGGUCACAGAUAAUAACAGAUUCCACAACAAUUAAUAAUAUCUUGAGCAAUCUCUUUCUAAAAUUGAGUAUAGUUCAUGUUCCUCUAUUUUCUAA